UGGGGAACCGUUGGUGCUUUGUGGCGAACCCGCCGUGGGGCGGGGUCACGUGCGCGCGCUGUCUGUUGGCCGGUGUGCGCGCGCCACCGCAGGGUCCAUGCCAGUUAGUGGGAAGUCCGCGCCCUCAGGGAGCGCUCUCUUGCCGCUCUCAGCCCGGGAGCCGGAGCCCCGGGCCGCCCACGCUGAGCCGGACUAAUGCUGUUCCUCAUCCAAACCUUCAUGAGACAAUUGGGAAACUGAGGCCGGGAAAGGCAGGGUCUGGCCUGGGGUCCAAAAGAUGGGUAGACCCCAGAGAAGGGAGGGUUCCAACCUUCCCAUAAGAUUUACUUUGGGAAUGAGAGACCCUAAUAUCCUGGGAGACCCCUUCCCACCCCCUCCUAUGUGGGGCUCUUUCCUCUGGGCAUCCCCACAUGGGCACAGACACACGCACACACACACACACACACACACUGACUGCCCGAGUGGGGUCUGGAAGGGAAAUGGACACUGGGAGGUGACAGGGGAAAGAAGCAGGAGGUGGAGGCAGCUCUGCCAGGGGGCAGGGGCAGCCGGUCCCCUGCCAUGUGCCUGGGACCCAUAGCAUGGGGAGGGGGAGAGAUGCCACGCUGAUGGGCAGGGGGUCCCCAAGGUUCCCGGGGUCUGCCCCAGACACGCACAUCCUAGAGACAGCUCCCUACCCAGCUCACUUGGCUGGACACGCUCUGGAGAGCAGCACGCUCUCUUGCUGUAUCCCCAUGUCCCGAGGCUGUGGCUUCAAAAACGCCCGCAGUGAGAGCAUCUUCCGACGCUGCAGACGUUGUCAGGUCUCACCUCAGACGCUUCUGGCCAUUUGCCUGAAAGGACCCAAAGGUGGAGGUCUGUGCCUGAUCUGGGAGCAGAAGGUCAGUGGGCAAAAGAAGCAGGGAUGAGGCCAGGCAGGGCUCUGAUGCCUGGGGGCCGGCUGCUGGUCACCGUCUUUGCAGAGCUCCACGCAGGAGAUCAGGGAGGAGCUACUGGAUGGGGACACUCACGCUGUCUCCCUGAGUGAGGGGCAGGUGUACCACACCACCAGCGGGGUGGCUCCGGGUGAGUGCAGGCUUGGAGAGGUCUCUAGAACCAGGGCCCAGAGGUGGCUGGGGAAGGCCUCUUGCCUAGAAGCCACCCAAGUGACUACCCAGGGUUCUGCCAAGGGCUUUGCCCCUGAGUGGCCACAGCCCCAACCCAUGGAGUAUGAGUUCCUCCCGUCCUCUGCCCUCGCCGUUCAGCCCCAGCCUUGGGCAGGUGCAAAGUCACUUUUCACAUGGUUGCAAGAUUGUCAGAACCAAUCUUUUAUACACUGUUGCACUUCAGGAUGUGAACACAAGUAUUUUUCUACAGUCCAUUUUUUGAGUUGUCCCUCUUUGUCCGAAAAUGAGUCCCAGUGUGAAAAUGAGUGGGCCUUGAACCUGGAUGAGACCCGCAGGGUGGGGACAGUCAGUGCAGAUACCCUGGAGAAGCUGUGGAGCGCCUGGUGCCUGCCUUCCAGGGCAGCGACCUCUCCUGUGUCACCCUCCUCCUGUGCACCUGCCGAGCCUUCACCACCCAACAGGUCCUGGACCUGCUGUUCAAAAGAUGUGGAUUCUUUCAUCCUGAUUGCGACAAGGACAGCAGACCCCAGGACCGAGCAGGAAAUGACUGGGCUUUGAGUCAAGAAGAAGGGCUUGUGUCUCCAAGGUGGGGGACAUCUGAGGUCUGUGGCUGGGGGGCGGGGCAUAACACCCUGGCUCCCACGCAUUUCGUGAUUCCUGCUAGAGGGCUGAGGUACGGAGGCUUCUCCUGUAGAAGGAAAGGAGUCAGAGAGCCGCAGAUGGGGUCCCGGGCCCCCUGUGGAGCAGAGAAGAGGCUGGGGCCUCAGAGCUGGCCCCUGAGAGAAUCCAACCCCACCACAGCCCAUCCCAGCCCUGCUCAGCACCCCCUGAGCCGAGGGCCCAGGAAGGAGGUGUGGGGAGCCACCUGCUCACGCAUCAGCCUGGUGCCUCAGUCCUGCAAGGCCAGCUGCAUGUGGGGCUGGGCCGGCUGUGUCCCCAUUCCCAAGGAUAGUGUCAGGGGGGAGACGAGACCCACACAGGCCUCGCAGAGAGUAAGACAGCACAGCGGUGUAUGAGCGGCAGGCUGAGGUGCCACGAGGGCCCCGUGAAGGCUGGGCAGCAGGACACACUCCGCCUGGUCCCUCCUCCCUCACAUGUGCGUGCAGCACUUACUGCGCGCCUGCCAGUGCGAUGAACAGAGCAGGCACCGCCCUCCCUGUCCUCGUGGAGUUGACAUUCCAGUGGGGAGCGGCCGGGGGACAGGCAGGAGUGCGUCGGGUUCCCCGAGGAAGGGAGAGGUGGUCCCAGCGUUGACGGAGGGCUCCCUCCCAUGGAGACUUCGCAGGCCAGCCUGCUGACCAGGCCUGCCCCUGCUGGACCGUCACGUGGGGGUGGGCUGGGGUGGACUGGCCUCUGGAUGGGCAGGGGGGCCCAGGAGCCCAGCCCCCACAGGGGUGCCAAGGGAGGGCCACGUGGAAGGAGAGGCCAGGCCUCCAACUCUCCUGCCCACCCACCUACCUCCAGUGCCAUCUCCUCCAUCCUGGGCACCUGGCUGGACCAGUACCCAGAAGACUGCCAUCAACCUCAGACUUUGCCAGCCUACAUCAGCCAAUGGUGCUGCUCAGUGUGCCUGGCUCUGACCUGGAGCACCGUGUCCAACUUCUCCUGACCCCGCUGGGGUACCUGGAGCCCACUGAGGCAGAGCCCAAGAGUGAGAAAGCCUGGGGUGGGUACAUGUGAGCAUAUCAGGAGGGGUUGGUGCUGGACACACAGGAAAGAAUCCCCCAGACUGCAGUGUUGGCCUGGAGCAAAGACUGGCCUCAGACCACCCCUCUGGCGGACUGCGGUCAGGAAAGAUGUCGUGUUGUGGGUUCCUGGGCUGGAGCUUCUCUGGAAGGCUCUGGGAUGUGUUCUGUCUUUGGGAAGGCACAUGGAGAGCAGGCGGGGGGCAUCUUUUCUCCUCCUGUAGUUCCAGCACCAUCUCAGUACUUCGCACUGGCUCCAGCUCCGGUUCCCCUACAUUCUGAGGAGCCAGGUACAGGUGCAGAAGCCAGUGCAGAAGUAAAGCCCGCUCCAGAGCCGGAGGAACGUCCACCUUCAGCUGUAGUACCACCUGCAGCAGCUGCUCCAGAGCUGCAGGCAGCACCGAUAUUGGUUCCAUCAGCAGUGCUGGGAUGAGGGCCGGCAUCUGGAGCAGCUUCUAAAGGAAGCUGAGAGCCAGCUCAGGACCCACCAUCCCUGCAGGGAGAACCAUCACCUCACCUGCACCUGUGCCUGCUUCUACGGGAGACCCUGAGCUGCUCAGGACCCACCAUCCCUGCAGGGAGAGCCAUCACCUUACCUGCACCUGCUCCUGCAGGAGACCCUCAGCUGCUUAGGACUCAGGACUUCUGCAGGAGAAGCCUCACCUGGACCAGCUCCUGCUCCUGCAGGAGAAGGAGACCCUGAGCCAGCUCAGGACCCACGACCCCUGCAGGGAGAGCCAGCUCUGGAACUGCCGUCAGCGCCAGCUCCUGCGCCACAGCUUCAACCUGCUCCCUCACCAGAACCUUCCUUUCCCUCCCUGGUUAUUGUUUUUGUUUGGGUUUUAUUUUAUUUUUUCCUUUUACUCUCUUAUGGUUUUUUAUACUUUGUGAUUCAAAAUUUAAAUAUAAUAAAUUUAAGCAUUUCACUGUGUUAAACAAUUCAUAGCAUUAAAUACAUUCACAAUGCUGUGCAACCAUCACCACUGUCUAGCUCAGAAUAUUUCCCUCCCCGGAAGGAAGCCCUGCACCAAAGCGCUCACUCCCCAUUCCUCCCUCCCCCGGCCCCAAAACUCCUGAUCUGCUU
ensembl:lncRNA